rnacentral:lncRNA from 1 species
GCACUACAUAUUUAAGAUUGUCUCUUGAGAAAAUUUUACGGACAAAUAUUACAGAACAUGAGGCAGAUGUUUACGAUCUCUAAUUCCAACAAAGAAAUUGUGUUGGAUUGAGGAAAGGACUAGGACACCUGAAACAUCAUUGCCUAGAGCGGAACUCCUGGCAGCAUCCAGCCUUCACUGGAGGAAGCACAAGACUUUCGUGCUUUCAGAGUAAAUAUGUCAUGGAACUGAGAAACGUGGACAUGUACUCCUUGACAUAAGCUUGAAGAAGCUUAAUGAGCCUCCCAUCCCUCUUUGUCAGGAUGCACAAAAAAUGUUAGAAGUAAUUGAGAUACCUCCAAAGAGCUACAA